CGGUGCUGCUGCCAGGCCCUCGGCUUCAGCCGCCAAUCAUACGCACUUCCUCCGCGGGGACAGAGAGACUCUGAGAGAGGAGGACAGAAGAGGAGUGUUCUCCUUGACUUUCCGAGACAGCUCAGAGAGCUCCAUCAAGCGCCGCCGCUACAGAUUCUGUAACAGGUCACUGUAAGUGGGAAGUGUGCGAAGGUACGAUGGAGGGGAAGACGAUUGCUCAUUUAACGUGUCUGAUGGUAAUGUUGAUUUCAGUAGCUUCUCAAGACGCAGGUACAGUAUAUAUUUGACCUUAUACAGUAUGUAAGUUAAUUCAUGAUUUGGCUGCCACCAUGUUUUUAACAUUGGAUCAUGCAUAGUAUUCCAACGCUAAACUGUCUUGGAUUUAUUUGCAUUAGGUCAGGCAGGCACACAGUAUUACGUUUGCUGUUUUUUUAACCCACAUAUUAUGUUUGGGGUCUAUCUGACCCAAUUUAGUGUUUGACAUCUCUUAAAAACCAGUUGAACUUUUUUCAUUUUUCACAAAAUGUUCUAUUUUGGUGGGAUUAAAUGGUAAAGAUGCAAUAAACAUAAUGCUUUGUUUUAAGAAGUCCUGUACCAACUUUGCAUGUGUUGUAUGGGCUUAUUUUGACUCUCUGUAACUGUAUAAAAUAUCAGAAAAUAUGCAUCCAUUUUUAUUUUUAUUUACUUUGUGGAUGAUUCUGGUGGCACUUUCCCAAACAGGUGCCAAACUCUCACAGAUUUUUAAUAUUCAUGGAUAAAAGGCUCGUCAUUUGGGAGACAAUAAGAAGGCAACACACAAAUAAUUUUGUGUUUAUUUAAACUCUUUAACCUAAAAGCAGUCAUCGACUCUUAACAUAAUAGGAGCGUUAAACCGAGGUGCUGCAGU